UACGUAGGGUGCAAGCGUUGUCCGGAAUUAUUGGGCGUAAAGAGCUCGUAGGCGGUCUGUCGCGUCGGAUGUGAAAACCCAGGGCUCAACCCUGGGCCUGCAUUCGAUACGGGCAGACUAGAGUUCGGUAGGGGAGACUGGAAUUCCUGGUGUAGCGGUGAAAUGCGCAGAUAUCAGGAGGAACACCGGUGGCGAAGGCGGGUCUCUGGGCAGUAACUGACGCUGAGAAGCGAAAGCGUGGGGAGCGAACAGG
rnacentral:rRNA from 1 species